rnacentral:tRNA from 1 species
GGCCCCAUCGUCUAAUGGUUAGGACAUCAGAUUCUCAUUCUGAUAAUCUGGGUUCAAAUCCCGGUGGGGUCA